rnacentral:rRNA from 1 species
UGAAUAAUAUUGCAGCAAUGGGGGCAACCCUGACGCAGCCAUGCCGGAUGAAAGAAGAAGGCCUUCGGGUUGUAAAGUUCUUUCGGUAGCGAGGAAGGCAUUUAGUUUAAUNGACUAGGUGAUCGACGUUAACUACAGAAGAAGCACCGGCUAACUCCGUGCCAGCAGCCGCGGUAAUACGGAGGGUGCGAGCGUUAAUCGGAAUAACUGGGAGUAAAGGGCACGCAGGCGGUGAAUUAAGUGAGGUGUGAAAGCCCCGUCUUAACCUGGGAAUUGCAUUUCAUAGGGGGUCGCUAGAGUACUUUAGGGAGGGGUAGAAUUACACGUGUAGCGGUGAAAUGCGUAGAGAUGUGGAGGAAUACCGAAGGAGAAGGCAGCCCCUUGGGAAUGUACUGACGCUCANUGAGAAAGCGUGGGGAGCAAACGGGAUUAGAUACCGUGGUAGUACACGCUGUAAAAGAUCUCGAUUUGGGGGGUGAGCUUUAAGCUUGGCGCCCGUAGCUAACGUGAUAAAUCGACCGCCUGGGGAGUACGGCCGCAAGGUUA